GACGAACGCUGGCGGCGUGCUUAACACAUGCAAGUCGAACGAUGAAGCUGGAGCUUGCUCCGGUGGAUUAGUGGCGAACGGGUGAGUAACACGUGAGCAAUCUGCCCUUGACUCUGGGAUAACUGCGGGAAACUGUAGCUAAUACCGGAUACUUUCACUGGAAGGCAUCUUCUGGUGAAGAAAGAAUUUCGGUCAAGGAUGAGCUCGCGGCCUAUCAGCUUGUUGGUGAGGUAACGGCUCACCAAGGCGACGACGGGUAGCCGGCCUGAGAGGGUGACCGGCCACACUGGGACUGAGACACGGCCCAGACUCCUACGGGAGGCAGCAGUGGGGAAUAUUGCACAAUGGGCGCAAGCCUGAUGCAGCGACGCCGCGUGAGGGAUGAAGGUCUUCGGAUUGUAAACCUCUUUCAGUAGGGACGAAGCGAAAGUGACGGUACCUAAAGAAGAAGCACCGGCUAACUACGUGCCAGCCGCCGCCGUAA
rnacentral:rRNA from 1 species